AUUGUUAGACGGUGUGGCUAGUGAUCGAGAGGGGGGGUGAAUAGAUCACCUCUUUAAAAUUAACGGAUUUAACGUUUAAUCAGAGUUUUCAAAAACAGCGGAAAAAGCAGUCCCGAAUCGACUUCCGUCUAUUCUGAACUGCUACUAGAAAGCCGGACACGCAAGUACAGUUGCUGGAUUUUAAUGAGAAUGACAGAAAUAAUACACACAGAAUUUU
rnacentral:lncRNA from 1 species